rnacentral:lncRNA from 1 species
AUGGGUCAAAGUCAGAGUGGUGGUUAUGGUCCUAGAGGUGGCAAGAAGGAUGACAAGGACAAUAAAAAGAAAUAUGAACCUCUUGUACCAAUUAUAGGGGAGGAAAAGAAGGAGAAAACAAAAAGACCAGAUGCUGCCAGCAAACUGCCACUGGUGAUACCUCACAUUCAAUGCCAGUUAAAAUUAUUGAAAUUAGUGAGAAUGAAAGACUCUAUUCUCAUGGAGGAAGAAGCCAUUAGAAAUCAGGAACAGAUAAAACCAUUAGAAGAAAAGCAUUAGGAGGGAAAAGCAAAAGCGGAUGACCUGAGGGGGACCACUAUGACACUAGAAACCUUGGAAGAGAUCAUUGAUGGCAGUCACACCAUUGUGUCUAGAUAUGCGGGGUCAGAACACUACAUCAGCUUUCUUUUAUUUGUAGACAAGGAUCUGUUGGAACUGGCUUCUUGGUCCCGCUCAACCGCAAGUUGAAUACCAUGAAAAGGGUGCUGAUGAAUGACACAGAUUCCUUAGUCACAGUGAUGAAGGUGGAAAUGGUCCCCAGGAGACCUAUGCCAGUAUUGGUGGUUGGACAACCAAAUCCAGGAAAUUAAGUAAGAGAUCUGUGGAGCUUCCUCUCACUCAUCCUGAAUAUUAUUAAGAGAUGGGUUUAAAGCCAGAUAAGGGGGUCAUUCUCUAUGGUCCAUAUGCCCCAGGUAAAACCUUGUUAGCCAAAGCAGUAGCAUGUCAAACCUCAGCCACUUUCUUGAGGGUGGUUGGUUCUGAACUUAUUCAGAAGUACCUUGGUGAUGGGCCCAAACUCACAUGGGAAUUGUUUUGAGCUGCUGAAGAAUAUGCACCUUUCAUCAUGUUUAUUGAUGAAAUUGAUGCCAUUGGGAAAAACUAUGACUCAAAUUUUGGUGGUGAGAGAGAAAUUUAGUGAACAAUGUUGGAACUGUUGAACCAGUUGCAUGGAUCUGAUUCAAGGGGAGAUAUUAAAGUUAUCAUAGCCACAAACCAAAUAGAAACUUAGGAUCCAACACUUACCAGGCCAGGCUACAUUGACAGGAAGACUGAGUUCCCCCUGCCUGAUAAAAGGAUGAAGAAGUACAUUUUUCAGAUUCACAUGAACAACACGACUUUGGCCAGUGAUGUAACCCUGGACAACUUGAUUACGGCCAAAGAUGACCUCUUUGGUGCUGACAUCAAGGCAGUCUGUACAGAAGGUGAUCUGAUGACCUUAAGAGAAAGUAGAAUGAAAGUAACAAAUGAAGACUUCAAAAAAACAUAAGAAAAUAUUCUUUAUAAAAAAUAAGGGCACCCCUGAGGGGCUCUAUCUCUAG